rnacentral:misc_RNA from 1 species
AAUCCUCAAGCCAGACAGGCUUUGUUGACUGUCUUGGUUUGGAUGUGGACUCUGCUGUUGGUGCAAACCGACAGCUGGUCUUAAACGUGUUAGCUGAAUCUUGGUUCAAAAGGGUUCUACUCGGCGUGAUAAUUAUCUUAUCGCUGAGGACAUUUCUUUCGGGAAAUGGCCCGUUCUUGACCUCGAGUCGCUUCUAAUCUGCUGGUAUGAUCUGGGACUUUACCGUCUCGGGUUUUCCGCAACCUUUCAAU